rnacentral:tRNA from 1 species
GGGGAGAUGCCAGAGUGGUCGAAUGGGGCGGUCUCGAAAACCGCUGUGGGCUUCUGUCCACCGUGGGUUCGAAUCCCACUCUCCCCG